rnacentral:RNase_P_RNA from 1 species
UAACCUCAUUGUGCGAACGCGGGGAUCUUUGAUCCGUGAGGAAAGUCCGAGCAUCAUAGAGCGGGAUAACUGCUAACGGCAGCCGAGGGCGACCUUAGGGCAAGUGCAACAGAGAUAUACCGCUUUCGGAAGCUUGCUUCUUGAAAGUAAGGGUGGAAAGGCGAGGUAAGAGCUCACCGGAGCAUAGGUAACUAUGCUGCCAUGUAAACCCUAUCCGAUGCAACGCCGAUUGGUACGGAGAGAAAUGCGUCUGCUCGGCGUACUCCGAUAUAGGCGGCUUGAUCCUGCGGGUGACCGCAGGAGUAGAUAAAUGUUCGUACACGACAGAACUCGGCUUAUAGAUGAGGUUAUAUU